rnacentral:tRNA from 1 species
GCCCGGAUAGCUCAAGCUCGGUAGAGCAUCAGACUUUUAAUCUGAUGGGUCCAGGGUUCGAGUCCCUGUUCGGCG